rnacentral:rRNA from 1 species
GACGAACGCUGGCGGCGUGCCUAAUACAUGCAAGUCGAGCGGACUUUCAAGAAGCUUGCUUUUUGAAAGUUAGCGGCGGACGGGUGAGUAACACGCGGGCAACCUGCCUGCAAGACGGGGAUAACUCCGGGAAACCGGGGCUAAUACCGGAUAAUAUCUUCCUUCGCAUGAAGGAAGGUUGAAAGGCGGCGCAAGCUGCCGCUUGCAGAUGGGCCCGCGGCGCAUUAGCUAGUUGGUGAGGUAACGGCUCACCAAGGCGACGAUGCGUAGCCGACCUGAGAGGGUGAUCGGCCACACUGGGACUGAGACACGGCCCAGACUCCUACGGGAGGCAGCAGUAGGGAAUCUUCCGCAAUGGACGAAAGUCUGACGGAGCAACGCCGCGUGAGCGAAGAAGGUCGUCGGAUCGUAAAGCUCUGUUGUCAGGGAAGAACAAGUACCGUUCGAACAGGGCGGUACCUUGACGGUACCUGACCAGAAAGCCACGGCUAACUACGUG